GCCUACGACCAUAUCACCCUGAAUGCGCCCGAUCUCGUCUGAUCUCGGAAGCUAAGCAUGGUCGAGCCUGGUUAGUGCUUGGAUGGGAGACUGCCUGGGAAUACCAGGUGUUGUAGGAU
rnacentral:rRNA from 1 species